rnacentral:rRNA from 1 species
CCCUUAGAUGUCCUGGGCUGCACGCGCGCUACACUGAUGUGUUCAAUAAGCACCUAACCUACUCCGAAGGGACUGGGUAACCUUUGCAAAGCACAUCGUGAUGGGGAUAGAUUAUUGCAAUUAUUAGUCUUGAACGAGGAAUUCCUAGUAAGCGCAAGUCAUCAGCUUGUGUUGAUUACGUCCCUGCCCUUUGUACACACCGCCCGUCGCUCCUACCGAUUGAGCGGUUUAGUGAGGGCCUCGGAUUGGUCUCGGCCCGCUCUUUACCGGGCGGCGCCGUUGGUCGAGAAGACGCUCGAACCUGAUCGUUUAGAGGAAGUAAAAGUCGUAACA